UACGGAGGAUCCAAGCGUUAUCCGGAAUCAUUGGGUUUAAAGGGUCCGUAGGCGGUUUGGUAAGUCAGUGGUGAAAGCCCAUCGCUCAACGGUGGAACGGCCAUUGAUACUGCCAGACUUGAAUUACUAGGAAGUAACUAGAAUAUGUAGUGUAGCGGUGAAAUGCUUAGAGAUUACAUGGAAUACCAAUUGCGAAGGCAGGUUACUACUAAUGGAUUGACGCUGAUGGACGAAAGCGUGGGUAGCGAACAGG
rnacentral:rRNA from 1 species